UUUGAUCACAUGAACUUAGCAUAACACAUUUGAAUAUAUAUAUAUAAAUAUACCAUAAUAGAUUACUAAAUUAUAUCCAAAAUGAACCAUCACUAGCCAUUCCAAUGGCUAGGUUACAAAAUGAUAUUUCAAGCCACUACUAGCCAAAUUUCCCUAUACAUGCCAUUACACCAAAAUGAUUUCACUAAAUAUACCCAAAAUGCUAGUUGAUAGUGUGACAAUGCUCCAAUGACCUUCCAACCUUCACAAGCUUCCAAGCACUAUAAAAUAGGGGAAAAAUAAAAAGAGUAAGCAUUAGAUGCUUAGUAAGUUCGUACAACAGAAACUAAACUUGCCAAUCUUGUUUAUUAAAAUCUAGGCAUACAAUGUUAUGUUUCCAUCCAUUUGGCUAAAUGGCCUAAUCACAUACAUUUCAUCAAUCACGUUAGUCACCAACUAUUCAUAAAAAUCAAGUAACAUACAUGAGCUCAUCAAGCAAUGUUCUUUCAAGUUAUUAUCAUUUAUCUCGAGAUUUUCAUGUCAAGUUAAGAGUUAUAUGUCCUUUGAAUCAUUAAAAUCCUGAUGAAGGCUCAAAUAGUACACUCGAGGUGUACGAUUCAAUAAUCCAUUAAUUCUUAUCAAAGGUAACCCUUAAGAUACUUAACCAAGGAACACACUCUCGAGCUACAUGUCAUAUGAUAGGAUUACCAGUCCAGACUAAAUCCUUUAUAUAGCGAAUGCUCAAAAAGCUUGAUUAGAAUUACCAGUCCAGGCUAAAUCCUAAUUUUAACGCAUACUCAAGAGGCAUUGUAUUAGGAUUACCCGUUAAGGCUAAAUCCUUUAUAUAAUAAGGUCAUUGGAAUUACUCGUCCAAGCUAAAUCCCGUCCGCAACAAAUGUAGGACCUCAUUAAUUUCGAGAAAGCAUAUACAAUCAUCGGAAUUCAAUGUUUAAUUGGGACUUAACCCCUUUAUCAUCAUUUUAAAUACGUAUAAAUUUUCCAUCAUAACUUAAAAGUGGGGCACAUUAACAUAAAUCACAUUACAUACAAUACAACAUUCAAUUUACAUAAUCAAAUAUCGGUUAAGUUACAUGAACUUACCUUGACACUUGUUCGCGUAAUAAUCUACUAAUCCGAAAUCUUUUCCUUUCCUCGAUCUAACCUCAAGUUUGUGUUUUCUGGAUCUAUAUAAAUGAAUUUAAUCGUAAAUUUCAUACAUUUCACAAUUAGACGAACUCAAUUUUAGGCCCGAAAAAUGAAACUUGUAGAAACUACUCCCUAUUCCAAGCUUAACCAAAGCCCCAUUACAAAUUUCCAGCACAUGUUUACAUAAAAUUUUAGAAUUUUUCAUCAAUUUUUACAAGUUUACAUUUUAGUCCCUAAAUCAAGUUUUCAUCAAAAAUCACUUUGUAAAAGUUUUUUAUCUAUAAAUAAUCUUUCAUUUUCUACCAUAAAUUUCUAAUUUCCAGCAUAAUACAUCCAUGACCCAUUUUCAUACCUUGAUAAUUUUUCAAAUUAAUCCCUCAAAUAGAGAGAUUAAGCUAUCUCGGUUCUAAAGACACCAAAAUUACUAAAAAUGAGACAAAUAAACUUACCCAAUUAGCCUUUGAAACCUUUUGUUCUCUCUCCUAGGGUUUUCAUGUGUUUUUAGGUUGAAGAUGAUGAAAAUAAGAUGAUAUAAUUCCUUUCCAUCUUUUAAUUAAUCAUGUAUUUUGGUAUUUCCAAUUUAGUCCCUUAUCUAUUUCUAUAAUUCCAUGGAUGAGUCACCAUAAAAAUCUACAUACCUUUAUUAAUGGUCUAAUUACCAUAUAAGAACCUUAACUUUUAAAUUCCAUAACUAUUUGAUCCUUAUAGCUACUAAAAUUCAACUUUCACAUUUUAUACGAUUUAGUCCUCGUAAUUAGGCACUAAUUCGAUAAAAUUUUCAUAUCAAAAUUUUCACACGUUAUUUCUAUCAUAUUAUGGGCCAUAUGGUAAAAAAAAUAAAUAUAUUUUGAAUCAUAUUUGUGGUCUUGAAACAACUGUUCCGAUUUCACUGAAAAAUGAGCUGUUACAAUUUGAAGUUAGUUAUUUGAUUUUAAUAUUGCAUACGUGAUUAUUCCUCUACAAAUUAUUAUUCUAUUUUGCCACAGCCUGAUUCAUAUAGUUUAUAGUAAUAGCUUAAUCGAAUUAAUCCUAUUUUAUCCUUGAGGAGAUGAUCUUACUUACUAUUUUAUUACUUUAUUCGACGUGUAUACUUGCACAUUCGCAUAUUAUAUUCACACGCAACGCCUGCUUUCCAAUUAAUUCCUUAGUAAUGUGCUAAUAAUAGGUGAAAAAUAUAGCAAACAAUUUAAUCUGUGUGGCAAAAGACAUUUGUACAAAUGUGUCCAUUUAUAGCUUAACUUAUACUUAAACCAAAUGGUUUGGCCAUUACUCUAGCUUUUCUAGCUCCAACUACAGUUAUGAAGGUGGUGGCUUGCCAAAAAUCUUUUCUUUUUUUAUGCUAUUUUCCUCUUCUACUUGUUUCAUUUAUAAUCACUUUAUUUGUUCAUGAAUAGUUUCUUUUUAAAACUCCAAGAAGUUAAGAAAUAUCAAUUUCAACAGGGAUUUUACUGGAACGUAGUCAUUGUAAUAGAGUAUUAAUGUUAAGUUGUUUAAUUUGCAUUUUUAAAAUCGAUUCUUCAAUUGUGAUUUACCUAGUAAACUUUUUCAUUUAUUGAUUAUCUGACUACUUGGAAAUGUGUUGUGAAUAAUAAUAUGAGUAUAGGGUUUCACAUAUCGAGUUUUCUAACUUGUUAAGCGAGAAUUUUCCAAGAGGAUCUGUUGGUUUCUGUUUAAGGUUUCUUUACGUGUAAGGUUCCUUUUAAAGUCUUUGCCUACAAUGUUCAAUUACUUUUUAUGUUAUUUUCACUGACAGGAACUUGUUGAAAUUCGAGUACUUCUUUUUUUUUUGGUGUUUUCGAUUGAAAAACAACAUCACAAAGAUUUGUUGGCUCCUGAAAGUAACUCAGCUAGUGAUUUAUAGUAUCUUUAUGCUACAUUGUAUAGGUUUCGAGUCAAAGUGGAAUGGACUGUGAAGGGCUUGAAACUUAUUAAAUGUGUUAAAUCUUUAAAUAUAAAUAAAAUACAUUACAUUAAAUCUAUAUUAUUUGUUUUUACGUUUACAUGAGAUCCUUUUAUUAUACAUGUCUAACGGCACAAAAACAAUUUGUAAUUAAUGAAAAUAUGUCAAAAAAAAAUAUAUACAAUAUAACAAUUUCAUCAUUUCUUUUGCUACAUUUCAACAUCUGUCUCUAAGUAAAAAUAUUUGAGACAAGAGAAAAACAUGUAUUUUCCAUUUUUUUAAAUUAUUCUUUAAGUAAUAUAUAUUAUGACAUAUAAAUUAAUGACAUCAUGUAACUUUUUCUUAAUGUAUGAACAUUAUGUUUGGAUGUAAAAUAUAAUUCUCAAGCUAUUUAUUACUUCUAAUCUUUUGUUUUUUUAGAGGAUAAUUAAAUUAUUUAUUUCACUAAUGAUAUUUUAACACAUCUUUAAAAAAAUAUGAUUAAAUUAUUUAUUUUUAUUAAAUUAUGUUUAAUAAUAAUCCUAUUAAAAUUUAAUAACAAUAACAAUAACAAUAAUAAUCUAUUUAAAAAAUUUCUACUCAGGGUACUCUAGUCAUUUCAACUUUUUUUCUUAUGCUAUUACAGCUCUAUUCGAUUCAAACGUAUACAAGAAUGCUAUUACAGUUUUAUUUCAUUCCAUUUAAUCAAACAAUUGAAUUACUGAUUACAACUUUAUUCCAUAACAGCUUUAUUUCAUUAUGGUAAACCAAACAUGAUGUAAUAGUAUUUUAUUUUUUAUGUUAACAUUAAAUUUACAUUAUUUUUUAUUUCUUUUAAAAACAUUGAUAAACACUAUUAAUUUGUGUAUGGCGAGUAUGCAAAUAUACAUAUACAAAAAAACAAAAUAGGAAAAUUGACUUUGUUGGCAUUGUUUUUUUGAUGACAUUUGGCAAAUCAAUUAAUCCUCACAUCAAUUGGUAAAUUCUUGCAUUGAUUUUAGUGUAAUUACAAUCCAACUUUAUUACCGGUCAUCUCCUCAUUCAUCUCAUUUUCUAGAUGGUUAAUUACAGGAAAAAAAUAGUUUGAUUGUGUAUUGAUUUAAUUUUGAAUAUAUAUUAUGGAAAUUGUUUUUUGAAAAAUUCUCCUAUCCUCAUUCAUCUCAUACAAUAUUUUUUUUUUCAAUUCAUUUGAUUUUUUACUAAACAUAUGCAUUGAAUUUUUUCAAAUCAGAACUUUAUAUUUUCUUUAAUUUUAGCUUUCCUAAAAUUUGCACUAUAUAAAAAAUUAUAUUAAAAUUUAUCUUAAUUUCAUAAUUAUUCUUUUACUUAUAUAAUUAUAUAAAAUAGUUGAUUAUUAAAAUUACAAACUAAAAAAUAUAAUUUCAUAAAAAUAAAAAAAAAUUAAAUAAAAUAUAAAUAUAACAUUUAUUUUUUAUCCAACCUAUCGGGCUAGAAAUAAGGAAAAACAGGUAACCUUACUUUUUUUAUUUUCUUUAUUUUAUAUAUGAUAGCAUACAUACACAUCAUAUCAUAACAUAUCAUAUAUAUAUAUAAUAAAAUAGAAUUUUGAAAUAACUUUAUUGUAUGGUUCAAAUUUAAAACAAUCAUAUUACAUUUUUCUUUGUCUUUUGACACGCUUUCUCUAUGUCUUUUGACAUGCCUUUUGCUAUUGCUAGCACUAUUCUUCUUUUCUGUUCUAUUUGUCAAUUUUCUCUUUGUUUUGUUUUUUGGAUUUGGUGUUUAUGAAAGACUCAAUAGCAUAUCUUUCUCUUGAAGAUGAGAAAGAAGAGACCAUUCACUUGGGGGUUGAUGUGUCUGAACGUGAAACAUCAUAUGCAAACUGUUAUCUAGGAACAUUUCUUACAUCUAGUGUUGUUAAUUUUCAAGCGAUGAAAUUGACGUUGGCUAAUGUUUGGUGUCCUAUAGGACGUGUUUCCAUCUCGGAUCUAGGGCACGAGCGAUUUCUAUUCCAUUUUUAUUUCGAAGUUGAUGUGGUCAGAGUCAAAAGAAAUGGUCCUUGGACCUUUAACUCUCAUAUUCUAGUAUUACAUCCACUUAAGGAGGGGGACAACCCUCUUUCUAUUCCGUUAUUUUGGGUGGAAUUUUGGACGUAAAUUUAUGAACUACCGCUUGGAUCCAUGUUUGAAACUUUAGCUCGCCAGUUGGGCAGUUUUAUCGGCACUUUUGUUGAGUAUGAUGUAGCAAUAAUUCAAUUGGGUUAUAAAAGAAUAAUGCGGGUAAGGGUGAGACUUGAUGUUAGAAAACCAUUAAGAAUAAGGAAAAAAAACUCACUAUCCCGAAUAGUGAGUCAAUUUUUGUGCGAUUUGAAUAUGAAAAGCUCAUUUUAUUUUGCUUUCCCUAUCGUAAGUUAGGGCAUGGUGAAAGUUUUUGUCCAAUUAGAGCCCAUAGUCCGCGAUAGAAAUAUAUGUUUCGAUGGGCUAUCUCUCUACAGGCCUAGUUAAAGAGAAAUUCGGCUUGGAAGAGAAAAUGGUUGGUGGAGGACAAAAGGGGUGAUGGCUCCAAAUCCGGUAACUCCAUAAAAUUUGCAGAAAUGAUAUAUUAUGGGAUUCCUUAAUCGGGGCAAGUUAAUCAGAGGGCUUAUUCAGGAUUUAUUUCCAAUUAUUCUCUUCUUAUAAAUAAGGUGGUCAAUGCACCUUUAGUUUUAGGCCAAUUAAAAGUAGUCAAUUUAGGUCAAGCGUCUAAAGACUGUGGCAACGAUUAUGACGUAGAUAUGGUUCACUACGAAGAGGAACAUAGCCCAAUAAAACACAGUGAUGGGCUAAAGCGACCCUGGGUUUGGUCAACUCCUUCAAGAGUUUCUUUUCAUGAAGAUUCGAAUGAAGCACUAGGUACCCUGCUACAGGUACCUAACACUAAUAGAUUGGAAGGCCUGCUCUGAACACAAUGAAGCUGCUUAGUUGGAACAUUUUAGGCUUGGAGAGGUUUCAGAUAGUUCGUCGUCUCCAGCAUAUGCUGACAAAUAUCAAUCCCUUUGUAGUUUUCUUAAUAGAGACAAAACUACAAGGUUCUACGAUGGUGGAGGUAAGACGUAAAUGUGGAUUCCUGAAUGGGAUUAACGUUGACUCGAAUGGUAGAAGUGGGGGUUUAUCAUUGGGUUGGCGUAAUGAUUGCAAGGUAUCACGAUCUUUUUCGAUGAGGCAGAUUAAUAUGAUGGUUGAUGAAGAUAUAUAUGGUAAAACUUGGAGAUGUACGAGGUUUUAUAGAGCACCAGAGGAGAGUCAGAGGAAGGCAUCAUGGAAUUUAAUGCACUCUGUGGAUGAUUGUUCCCAUAUCCCUUGGUUGGUUAUUGAGGAUUUCAGUGAAAUAGUUUAUUUGUCAGAAAAGAAAGGAGGGUUACCUCAAAGGUAGAUACAAAUGAGUAGAUUUCAAGAAACUUUUUUCUGAUUGCUCUCUUAUAGACUUGGGGCAUAUUGGUCAAUGCUUUACAUGGGAGAGAGGAUGGGCUUACGCAAAUAACAUUCGGGAAUGGCUAGAUUGUUAGGUUAUUAAUAAAGCUUAGGGUGAUUUAUUUUAGAACUACAAAUUGAAUCUUCUUCCUCAUGCUUUUUCUUAUUAGAGUCCCUUAUUAUUAUAGUCUGAUUGAGGAAAUAAUCGUGGGAAAUACUGACAUUUUAGAUUCGAAGCUUCUUGGUUAUUAAAGGAUACGUAUGAGCCGGAGGUGCUAAAAUUAUGGAAUGAGAAUUUGGGUGAUGUUCCUAAUAGACUAAAAGCGAUUGGUGGGCGUCUUGAUUUGUGGUUUUGUCGUAUUAAAAAUGGGAGAGUUUUAUAAUAAUAAUAAAAAGAUCUUAAGAUGCAAUUCACUCGGUUGACUGAAUCUUAUCGUCCAAUAAGGUAUUGAGUGAAAUUAUUAAUACCAAAUUACCUCUUAAUUUAGAAACGGACCGAGAGGAACUUUAUUGCAAGCAAUGGAAACACAAAAAUAUAGACUUUUUCAUGUCAUUUUUAACUCAAAUUCAUGCAGUUUCAUAGUAAUUCUUGUUGAAAAAUAUAAUAUAAUUAUAAAAUAAUUAAAUUGUACUCAAAUUAUUAACAUAUUAAUUUUGAAUUAAUUUUAUAAUAAAUUUUCAUAAAUUUUCAUUUAUUUUCAACAAAUUUGCAUAAAGAGUAAAAAUUGACUCGACAAAAACUGCUAGAAGCUCAAAAUCGGGAAGCGUUUUUUGACGCAUUGAAGCGAAUUGAUUUUUCAGCCUAAAAUGGUCCAAAUUAUGAAUAUUAAUACAUAAUAUAAUUAACUUUUAUUUUUAUCCAAUUUAUUUUGGGUUAAAUAAUUAUUAUUAAUUAUAUUUGGAAAGGAGUCCCAGUUGUGCUAAUACAAAAGAUUGAUCCAACCGAGCAAUCGGUCUGCCCAAUACCGUCCAACAUGCUGACCCAAUCAGCUCAAAAUAGCUAAUUUAUUAACUUGCGAAUUAGCCCUUUAUGUUUCCUUGAAAUCGCAUUCAAACCCUUCCACUUUCUGUGCUUUUAAAGAUUUGCCCCAAGCUAAAUUUAGCAAAGUUUGAAACAUUCAAACUUUGCUACAUGUGUGGCUGGCCAAGGGGGUAUAUGGCGGCUAAUUUUUUUCUAUUUUUAACAACCAAUCCCACCUAUAAAUACCCCAUUCACCUAUUUAUUAAACACACCUCUCAUUCCACACAUCUCUCUCUCUUUCACUCACUUUCUCUCAUUUGUUUCCCAUUUUCUCUUCUAAUUUCCUUUGCCAAUUUCCCUAUUUGAAGAUAACCCUUCAACCACCUUGGAUAGUAACAUUCAAGUGCUUGUAGAAGCCUCAAUUCAACAGAAUGAGCGAAGAAGGAAGAGCGGAGCAAACUAGUCAGGCUUCAGAGAAACGGCGGAUUUGAUUCUAGUUUUCUAUCCUUUAACUUUUAUUGUUGUUGUUAUGAACAUAUCUAUGAAUAUUUGUUAUGUUUUUAUUCUUAAUUUAAUUAAAAUGACUUAAAUUUAAUUUGUGUUAGGUUGACUGCAUUUCAUCUACUUAAGUUAUUAAAAUUAUGUUUGUAUUGUUAUAGGUCUUAAUAAAUUGUUUGAUUAUGUAAAACCAUGAUUAUGUUAUACUUGCACUAUGAUUGUGAGGUAACUAAUGAAUUAAUUAUUAACCGUAUUGAAAUUGUAAUUCAUUAACACAAUACUCAAUCAGUGCAUGUUUAUUCUUCUAAGGUAGUUGAGGGUUAAAUUAGCGACUAUAUUAAAUGGUACAUUAGUCUUGCAUAACUUACAAUAUUAUUGUGAUUAAACUGUUUCAAUAUGGAAAUACAUUGUUACCUCACUUAAUCUUUUACUUAUUAAAAUUGAUUAAUUGUUUAAAUUGGCAUAGUAAUAUGUUCAAGAGACUAGUUAAUUUAGCAAGUAUGUAUGUGCUAUAGUUAAUAAAUUACCAAGUUACCGUGAAUUUAUUCGUAACAACGUGAAUAUUGUUUUAGUAAUAUUAAGUUAAGAAAUGUAAUUGAUCUAACACAAUUAUGUCAUAUUGAUUAAACUUACUUUUCAAAAAUCGUGCAUUGGAAUUUUUUACCUUUUAAUAUUGAUUAAACUUACUUUUCAAAAAUCGCGCAUUGGAAUUUUUUACCUUUUAAUUGUUCUUAGUUAAUUUACUUAGUUAAAACCUAGUUUUAUUCAACCCUUUUUCAAAGCAAACGAUUUUCCUUCACCAAAGUGUUUUUAAUUGCAUUUCAUAAAUAUUUCUUUACAUAAUCCCUAUAGGUACAAUAACUUGACAUUUACUUGCUACUUUAUUACUUGUUGCAAUUGUGUACACUUGCACAUUUCCAUUGUUUCAAGCAGCGUGCAUGAGCUAACUAGCUAAAAAAUGGUGACAGCAACACAUCCUUUUUUCCAUAAGUUUGCUACAAAAAGAUGUCGGCGAAAUAAGGUUGAUAGUCUUUCGGAUUCUAAUAGUUUGAAGUACAAGAGUAAUGAGGAGAUGUUGUCGCUCGCCACUGAUUAGUUUGACUCCCUUUCACAUUGAAUGGAAUUAGAAAUCUCGAAGCUAUCUUGGAAGGGAUUGCUCCGUGUAUAUCCAGAACGAUAAAUGAGAAUCUUGAACAGGACUUUUCUUAUGAGGAAGUGUGUGUGGCUCUAAAAUCUUUGAAUCCAUUGAAGGCUUUUGGAGAGGAUGGUUUAGGUGCCGUAUUUUAUCAACAGUUUUGGCACAUUGUUGGAAAGGAGGUAGCAGACUACUGUACAACGAGUUUUAAUGGUGGUCAUAAUAUUGCCGACAUAAAUCAAACAUAGAUUGUGUUGAUCCCUAAGGUUAGCUGUCCUACGCUCAUGACUUACUUUCGACCCAUUAGUCUAUGUAAUAUCCUCUACAAAAUUAUUACAAAAAUGUUAGUGAACAGAUUCCAAAAAGUCUUCCACUAUUGUAUAGAUGAGGGGCGAAGUGCAUUUGUCUUGGGGCGACUAAUCAUUGAUAAUAUCAUCACUGCAUAUGAAAUUUUACAUUCCAUGAGGAGGAAAAGAGUUAGGAAUGAGGGGUCUUUUGCUCUAAAUCUUGACAUAAGUAAAGCGUAUGACAAGGUUAAAUGGGCUUUCAUUAGGGCCAUGCUUAAAAGAUUGGGUUUUUCAGAGUUGUGGGUUUAAAAAAUUAUGCGUUGUAUUGAAACGGUAUCUUAUUCAGUGGUUAUGAACAGUGAGGUGGGAAAUUUGUUUCUUCCUUCUCAGGGCCUUAGACAAAAGGAUCCGCUUAGGUCUUAUUUGUUUCUCAUUUGUGGAGAGGGACUUUCAGCUUUUCUUCGGACGACAGUUGUGAAUGGGGAUCUUAAAGGUGUUCCAAUUAACAAGCAUGCCCUUUUAUUACCUAUUCGUUUUUCGCUGAUGACAGUCUUAUUUUUGGGAAGGCCACAACUGAAGGAGCCAUGGCGCUUAAAGAAAAAAUGGAGACUUAUGCUUAGAGUUCAGGACAAUUGAUAAAUUUCGACAAGUCUGGUAUGUUCUUUAGUUCCAAUGUUGUGCGGAGAAACAGAGAGGAGAUUUAUCAAAUUCUAGGUGUUAAUCUGAAUAUGAAUAAAGAAAAGUAUUUGGGGCUUCCUUCGGUUGUAGGAAAAACAAAAAGGAGGCAUUUAGGGAGGAAAAAAGAAAGGCUACUGAAAAAUGUAUCUAGUUGUAGUUCAAGAAUGCUUUCGGUGGGGGGAAAGGAAGUUUUAAUUAAAGCAGUGUAAUAGGCAAUCCCCAUGUAUGCAAUUUUUUUUUUUGCUACCCAAUUCUUUUUGUAAAGAACUCGAAUAUAUUACUGCUAAAUUUUGAUGGCAAAAGAAAGCUGGAAGAAAGGGUUUACAUUGGUGUUCUUGGAACUCAUUUUGUAUUCCAAAAUGGAAUGAAGGUAUGGGUUUCAAAGAUUUAUAUAAGUUUAAUAUUGCUUUACUAGCAAUGCAGGGAUGGUGACUGAUAGAAACUCUAGACUCUUUAACAGUCAGAUUACUUCGAGCAAAAUAUAAUUAUGGGUCUAACUUUUUGGAUACCUUAUUGGGUUCUAACCCAUCUCUGAUUUUGAGAAGUAUAUAGUGCUACAAAGCUUUACUUCAAUCUGAUAUUGGGUGGAGGAUUGGAUCAAGGUUAUCAAUUUUAAUAUCGAAGGAUUAUUGGCUACCGGGGAGGAGUAAAGCACGAGUUAGUAUGAGUAGAGUAGAGGGCUUGGAGUAUGUAAGUGAUUUGAUUAUCCCAAAUCCAACUCGAUGGGAUAGACAACAAAUCUAUUCAACUUUUUUAGAGGAAGGAGGAAAUAAGUUAGUAAGUAUCCCUCUCCCUACUACAAAUCAAUCUGAUAAAACAGCUUGGAUUAGAGAACAUUUUGAUUGGGUACUUAUUCUGUCAAAAGUGGUUAUAAAGCCCUUUUAGAGCCUUCCUAGUUGAGUAAUUUGGAGCAGUUCAAUUUUAAGCAAAUUUGGAGUUUAAUGCCAAAAUUCACAUUUUAUUAUGGAGAUUUGAUAAAAAUUACAUUCCUACUUUUCAAAACUUGCACUUUAGAAGAAUUAUGCACGAUAAUAAUUGCCCGCGUUAUCGGGAUUGUAGUGAAUCGACUGUUCAUGUUGAGCGAGACUGCACGUUUGCUAUGCAGGUCUGGUCAAAGUUAAAUUAUCGGUGGCCAAGUUAUGUUGCAGAUUUGAAUUUCAACGAGUGGUUAAACUAGCUAUUCGUUAAUUCUGCCAGUAAUACUAAAGAGGAAAUUGCCAUUACAAUAUGGGCAAUCUAGUUUGCCCUUAACAAGCAACUGCAUGAAAGAGAAAUGUAAAGUGUGAGGAGGUUAUUACCUUUAUUCGGGGAUAUGGUAGGGGAUUAUAGAGAGAUGUCAUGAAUGUUAAAGCAUCCCAGACCCCGAGCCUUAAUUAAUUGGGAGCCUCCACCUAUGAACUUGGUCAAAGUGAAUGUGGACGUUGGGUUUUCUAAGGCAAAUAAUCGAGCAGUUCAGGGUUUCUAAUUAGGAAUAAUUACGGUAAUUUAAUGGGCUCGAGAUUCAGAAUGCAUAACCUGGUUAGGAUGGUGGUGUUGGCCGAAGCAAUGGCUGUUCUGCAUGGUCUUCAGUUUGCGAGGGAUAUGGGUUUCUCGAGAGUGAUCCUGGAAAGCAAUUCGAAAAUGGUUAUUAGGAAUCUCCAAGCAUCGGAGGAGGAUUAUUCAGAGACAAGGCGAAUUACCUGGGAUGUGAAGACUCUGGCGAGGGGCUUCGCGUCUUGUCGUUUCGAAUUCUUCAAGAGAGAAGGAAAUAAACUAGUGCAUGCAAUGGCGUCUGAAGCAAUGAAACACUCGGAAGAUUCAUUCCGGUUAAAGGAUGCUCAGCUUCGGGACUUGGAACUGGGGAUCUAGAUCAUUGUUUCCACCAACCGUCGUAGUUGCCUCCCUAUUCUGUCUGCAGUUCUUGGGUGAGAAUGUUUGCAACUCUAUGCAUCGAAUCUCAACUCUCUUCCUCUAGUUGAUGGCUCUGUUUGCCAAUCUUGGGAACGUUUCAGGCGGUUUUGGGUUGCUGGUUAUCGAAGGGUUUGGAAGAAGCUCCUGGAUGUGUUUCGUUUGUUACUUUAUUGUUUCUAAUUUGUUUUUUAUCUGACUUUUGUUGGGUGUUGUUUUGCUUUUGUUUGGUUUGGGUUUUGUUCUACUUUUGUUGUGUUUGGGUUUUAUUUGUAAUUUGUUUUGGACUUCCAAGCCUAGUUGAAGCAAAACGGACCGUAUUUUCAAAAAAUAAAAAUAAUUUUACAAUAAUUUUAAAAUAAUUUUAGUAACAAUUAGUUCUAAAACAAUUCUAAGACAUUUGUCACCUAUUACAUGUUGACAUAUCAACAUAGUUUGAUUUUAUAAUUAAAUUAUUAGUGAAACAUUAUAAAAAAAUAAAAUAGAUUCAUAAUUAAUAAGUGCAUUUCAAUUAAUACAUACAAUUAGCUAGUAUCACAUAUAUAUAUACAUAUUAAAUCACAUAUAUUAAAAGGUUUUAGUUAAAAAUGAAAAUAUACACAUGUACACACCCUUUUUAACUUAUUUCCUCCCUAAAUUCUUAAAAUAUUGAGGGCUUCACAAUUUAACACAUCUUCCAAAUAGUAUAGAAAUUAAUUUACUUAAUAACCUUUUUAAAAUUAUCCAUGAAUUUGACUAAUUAUUUUAAAUAUUUAUUAAUUGAAUAUUGUCCACUUAUAUUUUC
rnacentral:lncRNA from 1 species